rnacentral:lncRNA from 1 species
GUGGUCAACUGCAAAAUAAUCAAAGGGCUCAAAUUCACAGCAGUAGAUAAUCCAUAACACAGGGUUAGGCAACAUUAGGUGGGUCCAGGAAACCUUCACAGCUGAAGACCCAGAGAAGGGAACUGGGCCGGAAACACAGCAUCCGGGAACAAGCUGCAAGGAAGUGAUUGCCAAAGCCAACCGCCUGUGCAACCACAACAAGGGAAUCAACAGGCGUAUUCGGGCGUAUUCGGCUUGAGACGUGGCCUGCAAGGUUAGCUUGACUGUUGGACAUGAGUUAUGGCUAGAAUGCAGUUUUUUUAAGGUUCGAUCUACCUCUGCCUUGUCCCUGUUUAGAAAGUGUUGUCCUCCAAGGAUUUCAUCUGACUAUUUGUUGACUGGGAUCUCAUCCGCUACCAGGCUCUGUCCAGAUGCAAACCCCUUGAUUUUGGAUUUUCCAGCCUUCAGAACUACCUUGUGACCAGCUACCAACUUGAAGAAUGGAUAAGAGUUUACUUAAGGGUGGGGGCACUAUCAGACUUGUUCUACAGGUGAAUUAUGGCAAAUAUUUCUUGUAUAUUACUCUCAUGCUGUAGGUGAGUAGUUCUCAACUGGGGUUGAUCUGCGCCUCAGGCAGCAUUGCCAGUUAAAUACAUUACACUGUAAGGGGAAGUACAAAUUAAAAAGUAAGGGGCUUAAUCACUCCCUACGAAAAAUAAGGAAAGAGGUUGCUCCCCCACAUCCUUUGCCUUAGAGCAUUUACAUUUAGGACACUUGUAAUGAUAAG